ACGGUACCUAUAGAAGAAGCACCGGCCAACUACGUGCCAGCAGCCGCGGUAAUACGUAGGGUGCGAGCGUUGUCCGGAAUUACUGGGCGUAAAGAGCUCGUAGGCGGUUUGUCGCGUCGUCUGUGAAAUCCCACAGCUCAACUGUGGGCGUGCAGGCGAUACGGGCAGACUUGAGUACUGCAGGGGAGACUGGAAUUCCUGGUGUAGCGGUGAAAUGCGCAGAUAUCAGGAGGAACACCGGUGGCGAAGGCGGGUCUCUGGGCAGUAACUGACGCUGAGGAGCGAAAGCGUGGGUAGCGAACAGGAUUAGAUACCCUGGUAGUCCACGCCGUAAACGGUGGGCGCUAGGUGUGGGUUUCCUUCCACGGGAUCCGUGCCGUAGCUAACGCAUUAAGCGCCCCGCCUGGGGAGUACGGCCGCAAGGCUAAAACUCAAAGGAAUUGACGGGGGCCCGCACAAGCGGCGGAGCAUGUGGAUUAAUUCGAUGCAACGCGAAGAACCUUACCUGGGUUUGACAUACACCGGAUCGCCUCAAAGAUGGGGUUUCCCUUGUGGUCGGUGUACAGGUGGUGCAUGGCUG
rnacentral:rRNA from 1 species